rnacentral:rRNA from 1 species
AUUGAACGCUGGCGGCAGGCCUAACACAUGCAAGUCGAACGAGUGGCGGACGGGUGAGUAAUGUCUGGGAAACUGCCUGAUGGAGGGGGAUAACUACUGGAAACGGUAGCUAAUACCGCAUACCAUCAGAUGUGCCCAGAUGGGAUUAGCUUGUUGGUGGGGUAACGGCUAACAAAGGCGAACAUCCCUAGCUGGUCUGAGAGGAUGACCAGCCAAAAUGGAACUGAGAAACGGUCCAGACUCCUACGGCAGGCAGCAGUGGGGAAUAUGGACCAAUGGGGGCAAGCCUGAUGCAGCCAUGCCGCGUGUAUGAAGAAGGCCUUCGGGUUGUAAAGUACUUUCAGCGGGGAGGCGUUACCCGCAGAAGAAGCACCUGCUAACUCCGUGCCAGCCGCAGCGGUAAUUC